GGCUGGUCCAAAGGUAGUGAGUUAUCUCAGUUGAUUGUUCACAGUCAGUAACAGACCAAAAUCCUUAUUUUACUCUCACUACUGCACUUGACUAGUCUGAA
ensembl:Y_RNA Y_RNA Y RNA